GGGGAUAUGGCUCAGUGAUAGAGCACUCACCUAGCAUGUGUGAGGCCCUGGGUUCAAUCCUCAGCACCACA
rnacentral:tRNA from 1 species